CUUCUGUAAACCAACUGCAUACUACUGUCUACACUGUGCUAUAUUUCUUGUUCUGCCUAUGCACCACCUGUCUAAACUUUGUGUGUUACAUUGCACUUUUUUGCCGUUCUGGUUAGACACAAACUGCAUUUCGUUGUCUUUGUAGCCUGUGUUUUUAAACUGUUCUUGGCACGUAUGCCACACCCACUAGCACUGCAUCACUGAUUGGUGUUGUAUUUUAGUGCGUACACACUCACUUUGACAGUUGUUUUGAACUGUUCUUUGCACAUGUCAUACCCACAAGCUCUGCAUCAAUAUUUCAGGGUUGUGCAAAACACUACAUCACAGGUUGACAUUGCAGUAAGUGCACACUUACUAGCCUGUGUUUUUAAACUGUUCUUGGCACUUAUGCCACACCCACAAGCAUUGCAUCACUGAUUGGUGUUGUAUUUUAAUGCGUACACACUCACUUUGUCAGUCGUUUUGAACUGUUCUUUGCACACACAUUUUACGUACACAUCAAGUUUACUCUGCUGUUUGUGUUACUCACACACUGGUUGAUAUUGCAUCACUGAUUGGUGUUGUAUUUUAAUGCGUACACACUCACUUUGUCAGUCGUUUUGAACUGUUCUUUGCACACACAUUUUACGUACACAUCAAGUUUACUCUGCUGUUUGUGUUACUCACACACUGGUUGAUAUUGCAUCACUGAUUGGUGUUGUAUUUUAAUGCGUACACACUCACUUUGUCAGUCGUUUUGAACUGUUCUUUGCACACACAUUUUACGUACACACCAAGUUUACUCUGCUGUUUGUGUUACUCACACACUGGUUGAUAUUGCAUCACUGAUUGGUGUUGUAUUUUAAUGCGUACACACUCACUUUGUCAGUCGUUUUGAACUGUUCUUUGCACACACAUUUUACGUACACAUCAAGUUUACUCUGCUGUUUGUGUUACUCACACACUGGUUGAUAUUGCAGUAUGCACACUUACUAGCCUGUGUUUUAAAACUGUUCUUGGCACGUAUGCCACACCCACAAGCACUGCAUCAAUAUUUCAGGGUCGUGCAAAACACUACAUCACAGGUUGACAUUGCAGUAAGUGCAUCACUGGUUGGUAUUGUAUUUUUAGUGCGUACACACUCACUUUGCCUGUUUUGUUGUUCUUGGCACUUAUGGCACACUCACAAACAUGGUUGGUAUUAUAUUUAUACCUGUUCUUGGCACCUGUCUUACUCACACUACAUGUUCUACGUGGCGACUACAAACGAGGACACAGCCCUGCAGUACACCCGUGUUGAUGAUCACUGCUGAGGUUGAGGUUUCAACAAACACAAAUCGCUGGUUAAUAUUGUAUUUAAGUACGUACACACUCACUUUGCCUGUGUUGUUGAACUGUUCUUGGCACAUGCCAUACUCACACACAAUUCACUGAUAAAUGUUGUCAAUUGUACAAUAAGUGGGGACUUACUUUCUUGUGUUUUAAAACUGUUCUUGGCACAUAUGCCACACUGACACACACCGCAUCAUAGUCAAUAGUAGGCCUACAAGGUCCAGCAUAUACUACUACAUCACUGGUUGAUGUUGUAUUGCUGUAAGUCAACCGGAUUCCAAUGGCCAUCCUGUGACAGGCUCAGGAAAGCACUACGUCCUCUAUGACAAAUUCCACCAGUCAAACACAAAAGAUCCACAGGAUGUGCUGCGCAGAAUCUUCAUUGCUCCUGAACUGCAGGCAACUCUGAACAGUCAGGUGGCUGAGCAACUGUUCGCUUGUCUGAGGAAGAACAAUUACUUUCUAAACAACAUGGGACCAUCUGCUCACAUCUUCCUGAUGCGGAACAUCAUAGAGCACAGGAACAACCAGCAAAACAACACACUGCUGAAACGCCAGCUGAGAAGGGGUCUUCAGGUUCAAGACCUGAACAGUGUCACCCUGUCAGACUUGGGCCAAGUGCUACUAGGUGCAAAAACAUUGCCAGACAGAACAUCACAGCAAAGUCAUCCGGAAGGUCUACAGCCACCUGUAAUUGAAGUGUCACCGCAAAGUGAACCUUGUCUGUUGAACGCUUCAACUCACUGUGGGCAGGACUGUGCAGCACUGACUGUCAUUGUUAAUAUCAGGCCCUGCAGAAGUUCGUGGGGUCCUAAUGGAGUUCAUCCCCUUCAGGAAAAGCUGUUCAACUACGUACUGAAUGACAGUGGGCCAGCAAAUGAGCUCAUUGUUAAAGCUGGUCCAACAUGUCUAACCAGGGAGAAUUUACUGACCUUGGGGACAAACAGGGAGAUGGACUCUGUGGUGGGGAAUGCUUGUUUGAGGUUGGUUCAGGAGAUGGUCCAACUUCAGGGGAAAGAUGUUUUCAUCAUGGACCUUCACACGCCCCCAACAUGGCUCCCACCCAUGGAUUGUGACCCUCUGCAUAGUCUUCCUGUGGAUUACGCGAAGAAGACACUGAUAUUUCCUCUGUGGACUCGAGGGCAUUAUCUGCUUUGUGUCAUGGAGCCACUGAAAACAUUAAUCUUGUUCAUGGACUCGAUGUAUGCCAAGAAAGAACAAGGCUUUGGGCACAAGCCUUAUCAACACAUUUUGAGGGCUCUUGCACAGAGGAUAGCACCAGGACCUUGGCAGGAACAGACAGGGCUGGACAUUGAGGGCCUCCCACAGCAACAUUUUGGUGUUGACUGUGGAAUUUUCAUGAUCAUGUAUGCUUGGUACAUCGCCCUGGAGACACCAUUUGAUUUCUCCAUACAUGACAUGCCCUACCUGAGGAGGUGGUGGUGCACAGUGUUAAUGGAGAAUCUGGAGAUCGAGGGGCAUGGAAGAAGAUUCGCACAUUUCACAGAGGAGGGCAGAAAGACGGCAGACGGUAGUGUGGCACCUGUUUUCCGUGUGCCACGAAAAAGGAAGCUGGACACUAUGGAUGGUAAUGGGCAGAUAAUAGUUGGGCCACCAGCAGCAACAUCAGCAGCUCCUACAGCCCCAACAGCAGCUCCAACAGUCCAGUGUGACAGCUGUGUCUCCAUUGAACAGAGAGAAGAGAGUUUCAGUGAAUUAGAGGACUUCAAUGAAGAAUGUGAGGACACAAGUUGUGAGGAAAGAGAAGAGCGUUUGCGUGAGAUACAGGAGCUCAGCAAAGACUACCAGAACACUAAAUGGGUAAGAGCACACCAAAUGAGGAGGAGGUUGUUGUAACGCCCUGCAACGUGAGAGAAAGCUUACAGAGGCCAGCUGAACAGACUAGACCUCAAAAACCAAUACCAGUGGAUGCUGAUGUCAAUAAGUGUCCCACCUGUUCCUCAGUCCUGCACAUCGUCCAGGGAACAGACUGGCAGGCCAGUCCAGUGGCUCAGUGUACCAACUGCCCCACCAAGUCCUACCUCUGUGCUACCUGCCUCUCUCCCUGGCAAGGUCAUCCUGGGGUGCUGGGCCACUGUGCCAACAAGAGGUGUGCAGUGGUGGGAACCCUCCUCACCUGUGGGCUGAUCACCGACCCAAACAGCCGAGUAAAGGGCUGUCCAGAGUUCCGUGCUUGUCCCAAAUGCUACUGUCUACUCAUGCACAGCCAUGGCUGCAAAUAUGUCACCUGCUUUUGCAGCCAUACAUUUUGCUACAUCUGCUUGAGUGACAGUAAUGAGUGCAGGAAGGACAAAGACUUGUAUUGGUCACUUACCUGCUCUAAGCCAACAGCUGGACGACAGUGGUUCACAGGGCCGUAUUGAGCCGUUCUGUGGCCCUGGGCUAUAUCUUAAGAGGGGGCCCUACCGUACCGUUUUGCGCUCAUGCCAUUUAUUAACUUAUUAAACUCACAACAGCAAGUAUGUUGACACUGAUUUGCACUGGGCGUACUGUAGGUGUUUGUAGGCAAACUGGUUGAACUAGACUGCAUUUCCGAGGAGCUGCAAAGUGUGGUUGCUCAGGUGCAUCAACAGGAGCAGACAGUGGAAUAGGGUGCGUUGAAUUCGGCUUGAUCCAAGGAUUUCAACAACAUUCAAUAUCGGGCAUACGGGUCAAAAACGCAGAUUUUUGAUUGCAGCGACUCUUAGGUUAAAGUUUAGUCAAUAGCGGACCAGAUUGGUGACCUGUGAACAUUAAGUUUAGUUUUUUCAUGCAUCCUCUCAAUGGAACCCCAAGUCCAUGUACCAAGUUUGGUUUUGAUAAUUGAAAGUUUUGCUAAGAUGAUAUAGACUGGGUGGUGGUAGUGUAGUGGUUAAGGAGCUGGGCUAGUGUGCAGUAGCCUGACAGUUGUGGGUUCAAUUCCUGGCUUCCAUUGUUAUGCCCUUGAACAAGGCAAUUUACCCCAAGUUGCUCUGAGGACAAUGUAACCCCUUUUAAUAUAGUUGACAUAUGUAAGUCGCUUUGGACAAUAGUGUCUGCUAAAUAAACAUUAAAAUGUGACCUUACUUUCUGUUUGGCGGCUUUACCAACGCAACACACGUUUAUCUGUUUAAUGCAUGUUGUAUGUCAUGUCUGUGUCUUCCGAAUGGACCUUGAGUCUGGCAAUAAAGUUGAUGAUGUGUUA